rnacentral:rRNA from 1 species
GUGAACUCCGUCGCAGGUGGCGCGGGUAGGCGGGGGGUGCGGGGGUUGGUCGGAAUCACUGGGCAUAAAGGGCGCGUAGGUGGUCGAAAAGGUCAGUGGUGAAAGCCCCCGGCGCAACCGGGGAACGGCCUCUGAAACCAGUCGGCUGGAGCAGAAGGGGGGAGAGUGGAACUCGCAGUGGAGCGGUGAAAUGCGUAGAUAUUGCGAGGAACGCCGGUGGCGAAAGCGACUCUCCAACUUCUUGCUGACACUGAGGCGCGAAAGCCAGGGGAGCAAACGGGAUUAGAUACCCUAGUAGUC